GAUUAACGCUGGCGGCGUGCCUAACACAUGCAAGUCGAGCGGCAGCGAGUUUUACACUGUAUUCUGGAAGCUUCUAGUUGAAAGAGAAGAUUUAUUCAAGAAUUUUGUGUAAAAUGUCGGCGAGCGGCGGACGGCUGAGUAACGCGUGGGAACGUACCCCAAAGUGAGGGAUAACGCAUCGAAAGGUGUGCUAAUACCGCAUAUGGUCUUCAGAUUAAAGCCUUCGGGCGCUUUGGGAACGGCCUGCGUAAGAUUAGAUAGUUGGUAGGGUAAUGGCCUACCAAGUCGACGAUCUUUAACUGGUUUGAGAGGAUGAUCAGUCAGACUGGAACUGAGACACGGUCCAGACUCCUACGGGAGGCAGCAGUGAGGAAUCUUCCACAAUGGGCGAAAGCCUGAUGGAGCAACGCCGCGUGCAGGAUGAAGGCCUUCGGGUUGUAAACUGCUUUUAUAAGUGAGGAUUAUGACAGUAACUUAUGAAUAAGAAUCGGCUAACUACGUG
rnacentral:rRNA from 1 species